GGCCUGAUAGCACAACUGGUUAGUGCAUCUGCAAUAAAUGUUUCGUUCAUGGUGUGCUUCUACAGAAGAUCCUGUUCGACUCAGGGUCAGGCCC